rnacentral:tmRNA from 1 species
GGGGAUGUUUUGGUUUUGACAGCAGAUUGUAUCGGAAAGUAAGCACGUCGAGCGUUGUGAGGCCGGCUCGAUAAUCCCGGGUCACAAGCCAUUAACUGGCGAAAACAACUAUGCACUCGCUGCGUAAUUAAGCUAAGCUUUUACGCUUUAUCGCCGCCGGCUAGGUCCGGCCGUGACGAGUAUCCCGCCUGAUUUUAAGCCGACUAUAUCAGGUAUAUGGGGUAUCAAACAAGUAUGGCUGCCGACACUCACUCCUCUAUGGUGUCGAAAGAUUUAGAGGAUAAGCUCAGGAUGGCCUGUCUGUAGGCAGCCCUAAGACGAAAAACAAGAAUAGACUAAGCGUGUAGAAAGCUUUUGGAUGGUUUGUUUGGACGGCGGUUCGAGUCCGCCCAUCUCCACUA